rnacentral:lncRNA from 1 species
CCGCCACAUGUGUAUAAGGAUCUGCCUACCCUUUCGGAGCACCUGAGAUCACCCCCAGUUUUGGUGGGAUUCGUAUUGCUUAGUCUUUAGUUUUCUAUUUUGUGUCUUUUGUACUAUUAUUUGUCUGUUUGUCUUUUUAUUUUUAGCCAUGGCGUUGUCAGUUUAUUUUCAAUCUAUGAGUUUGACUGUCCAUCUGGUAUUUUUCGUCCCUGUUUUACAUCAAUUGAAAUUCAAACCUCCCAACAGCAUUGGUCGCAUAAAGCUAUAUGAAACAUAUUUUGAGCUUGUAACCCAAGCCAUGUAAUUUU